ACCCCAGGUAGCGCUGGAUUCCCAGUUCCUGUAAAGGUAGAAAGGGAAAAGUUGAGAGGUUUUUGCGAGCCCGUGGGAGCGGAUUGAAAGAACGCCCUGGCUCUACUGAAAAGAAGAUAUUCCUGUUCUAACCGUUCUAAGCGAGGAGGAGAGUGGAAAGCAUCUAACUGCCUUGCCUGGGAGUUUGCUCCAGUGGCUUGAGAAGCAGACACUACGGUUAGGAGAAUGUGCUGAGGAUUGUUUAUUUUCUACUGCAGUUGGUCCGCCUAUUGCUCCGCCCCCAACCAGCCACUCAUUGGUGAAGACUAAAGAAUGACGUCCUCUUUGGUGGACAUAACAUCUUUGUUUGUAUGUGGUGCUGAGGAUCGAACCCGGGCCGCACGCAUGCCAGGCACCCAACUUGUAAAAAUUAACAUGUGCAAGAUGACACCAUGCUGUUUGUAAUAGGAAAGGACUGGAAACAACAAAAAUGUUCAUCAGCCCUGAGUUCAAUCCCCAGCACACACACACACACAAAAAAAAAAAAAAAUUCAGGAG